UCCUACGGGGGGCAGCAGUGGGGAAUAUUGCACAAUGGGGGGAACCCUGAUGCAGCGACGCCGCGUGGGUGAAGAAGUCAUCCGUGACGUAAAGCCCUAUCAGCAGGGAAGAAAAUGACGGUACCUGACUAAGAAGCCCCGGCUAACUACGUGCCAGCAGCCGCGGUAAUACGUAGGGGGCAAGCGUUAUCCGGAUUUACUGGGUGUAAAGGGGGCGCAGACGGCGAUGCAAGCCAGGAGUGAAAGCCCGGGGCCCAACCCCGGGAGUGCAUUGGAAACUGGCGGGCUGGAG
rnacentral:rRNA from 1 species